CGGAGAUGACAGCGGCGGGGGUGGCGGCGGCUGCGGCACGGGGCUGAGCGAGCGGCGUGCGAGCCGGGGGAAGAGGAGGAAGUGGAGCUGCGGCCCGGAGCUCAAGAGUCUGCUGCCGUGCGGAGGUAUCCCCCAUUUUUCAGAGCGAGCCGAGUCUAGACCUGGAAAGACUUCCCCGCCCGGCGCUGGCGGCCGCUGCUCUUUGCCGGCGUCCUGACUUACCCCGCCUGCCCCGGCCCUGGAUUCCGCGCUGGGACGCUCUCAGGUGGUCCGGAGCGUGGUGACCAGGACGCCCCGAGCCCCCGACCCUGAUCCAGUGCACCUGGGCGGGACGCUCCUGGCCCACCAUACGGAUCCAUGGUUGCGGGCUUGUUCACAGCCUUUCUAUAGUGUGUAUCGGAGCCCCCAGCCCUCCGCCCGGGGUUAACGCAGGGUGUCCCCAAGCCCCCGACUGAGUGCAAAGGAGCCCGGACGCCCCUCAGCCUCUGUUUCCCCUAGACCAGGACUUUUAGCUGCCUCUGACUCGGUGCUGCUUCGGACUUGAGACCGUGCGAGUGCCCGGGAAGCCCCGGCCGGGGUUCAGCGCCCCGUGAGGGGUCGCAGGCGGGCUGGACAGUCGGACUGAACCGGACCCGGCUGGUGCUGCGAGUCGAAGCUACCACUUUCCUGCCUUCCCAGGCGAAGGGCUUGGCGCGUGCCCCGAAGAGAACACAGGGGCCCCUCUGCCCCGGCGGCCGGCGGGAGCCGAAAGCUGCAGCUCUCCCAGUGAAGUGACAUUACCAACUCCGUGGACGGGACACCCCCAGGAGCCCAGCUCACAGCCACUGGUACAAUCUUCCAGGACCAGCCUGGGGCCUCCAUGGGCUCCUGAGGGCCGGGCACCAGGGCCUCGGGCACGAGCAUGGUGAGACACCAGCCCCUGCAGUACUAUGAGCCCCAGCUGUGCCUCUCCUGCCUCACAGGCAUCUAUGGCUGUCGCUGGAAACGCUACCAGCGCUCCCAUGAUGACACCACACCGGUACCUCUACAAUCGCAUGGGCUACUGGAGUGACUGGUCUGUGCCCAUCCUCCUGACGACAGCCGCCGCCUUCACUUACAUCGCGGGCCU